rnacentral:rRNA from 1 species
GACGAACGCUGGCGGCGUGCUUAACACAUGCAAGUCGAACGGAAAGGCCCUGCUUUUGUGGGGUGCUCGAGUGGCGAACGGGUGAGUAACACGUGAGUAACCUGCCCUUGACUUUGGGAUAACUUCAGGAAACUGGGGCUAAUACCGGAUAGGAGCUCCUGCUGCAUGGUGGGGUUUGGAAAGUUUCGGCGGUUGGGGAUGGACUCGCGGCUUAUCAGCUUGUUGGUGGGGUAGUGGCUUACCAAGGCUUUGACGGGUAGCCGGCCUGAGAGGGUGACCGGGCACAUUGGGACUGAGAGAGGGCCCAGAAUGCUACGGGAGGCAGCAGGGGGGAAUAUGGCACAAUGGGCGGAAGCCUGAUGCAGAAACGCCGCGUGCGGGAUGACGGGCUUCGGGUUGUAAACCGCUUUCGCCUGUGACGAAGCGGGAGUGACGGUAAUGGGUAAAGAAGCACCGGCUAACUACGUG